GAGGGUAGAACUCAGUGGUAGAGUGCAUGCCUAGCAUGCACAAGGUCCUAGGUUCAAUCCCCAGUACCUCCC
rnacentral:tRNA from 1 species